rnacentral:rRNA from 1 species
AUUGAACGCUGGCGGCAGGCUUAGCACAUGCAAGUCGAGCGGGGUGAUGGUGCUUGCACUAUCACUUAGCGGCGGACGGGUGAGUAAUGCUUAGGAAUCUGCCUAUUAGUGGGGGACAACAUCUCGAAAGGGAUGCUAAUACCGCAUACGUCCUACGGGAGAAAGCAGGGGAUCACUUGUGACCUUGCGCUAAUAGAUGAGCCUAAGUCGGAUUGGCUAGUUGGUGGAGUAAAGGCCUGCCAAGGCGACGAUCUGUAGCGGGUCUGAGAGGAUGAUCCGCCACACCGGGACUGAGACACGGCCCAGACUCCUACGGGAGGCAGCAGUGGGGAAUAUUGGACAAUGGGGGGAACCCUGAUCCAGCCAUGCCGCGUGUGUGAAGAAGGCCUUAUGGUUGUAAAGCACUUUAAGCGAGGAGGAGGCUCUUUUGGUUAAUACCCAAGAUGAGUGGACGUUACUCGCAGAAUAAGCACCGGCUAACUCUGUGCCAGCCGCCGCGGUAA